rnacentral:rRNA from 2 species
UCGUAAACUCUGUUGUUAANGNANANNUAUCUGAGAGUAACUGUUCAGGUAUUGACGGUAUUNACCAGAAANCACGGCUACUACGUGCCAGCAGCCGCGGUAAUACGUAGGUGGCAAGCGUUGUCCGGGAUUUAUUGGGCGUAAAGCGAGCGCAGGCGGUUUUUUAAGUCUGAUGUGAAAGCUUUCGGCUCAACCGAAGAAGUGCAUCGGAAACUGGGAAACUUGAGUGCAGAAGAGGACAGUGGAACUCCAUGUGUAGCGGUGAAAUGCGUAGAUAUAUGGAAGAACACCAGUGGCGAAGGCGGCUGUCUGGUCUGUAACUGACGCUGAGGCUCGAAAGUAUGGGUAGCAAACAGGAUUAGAUACCCUGGUAGUCCAUACCGUAAACGAUGAAUGCUAAGUGUUGGAGGGUUUCCGCCCUUCAGUGCUGCAGCUAACGCAUUAAGCAUUCCGCCUGGGGAGUACGGCCGCAAGGCUGAAACUCAAAGGAAUUGACGGGGGCCCGCACAAGCGGUGGAGCAUGUGGUUUAAUUCGAAGCUACGCGAAGAACCUUACCAGGUCUUGACAUACUAUGCAAAUCUAAGAGAUUAGACGUUCCCUUCGGGGACAUGGAUACAGGUGGUGCAUGGUUGUCGUCAGCUCGUGUCGUGAGAUGUUGGG